AUGGCUUCCCAAAUCCCGGAUUUCAGGUGUCAGGGACUGCAGGAUCCCCAAUCCCAGAUUUCAGGGACUGCAGGAUCCCCAGUUCUGGUUUUCAGGGAUUGCAGGAUCCCCAAUCCCGGAUUUCAGGGACCGCAGGAUCCCCAAUCCCGGAUUUCAGGGACCGCAGGAUCCCCAAUCCCGGAUUUCAGGGACCGCAGGAUCCCCAAUCCCGGAUUUCAGGGACCGCAGGAUCCCCAAUCCCGGAUUUCAGGGACUGCAGGAUCCCCAAUCCCAGAUUUCAGGGACACGCCGUUUGUGCUCAGAGCUGUCACCCUUUGCCUCCCCCUCGGCUCUGCAGCGCCGUUCCCAAGCCGGAUCUUUCCCGGGAUUUUUCCCGGGAUCUUUGGAGCGCUAGAAGAUGGCAGUGCUGCCACCCUGAGUGUUUCCAACCACUCCUCCU